CUAAUUCUUUUGGAACAUAAAGAAAAAAUGUUGCCAGCGUCAGGGUUCUACUUUUACUCGUUGUCUAACAAUCAAUGCCCAAGAAUUUAACUGCCAAAGGAAGCAACAUAACAAGUAGAUAACACAUGCAACAUAACAAGUAGAUAACACAUGCAACAUAACAAGUAGAUAACACAGUAAUUUAUGCAGUAAAACAUGACUGUGAGACAUCAAGCGUCUGUAGUCCAACGGUUAGGAUAAUUGCCUUCCAAGCAAUAGACCCGGGUUCGACUCCCGGCAGACGCAUGCUUUUUGAAACUUCAACAACAACUAUGAUAUAAUUUUUGUAUAUCAUCUUAACACUCUCGCGUUUGAUCAUCAAGAUGUGCAUUAACGUUACCGCUCGUUAAGAGAAUGUCAUUUACAUCCAAUCACAUAUUUUAUACAUCAUCAAUUUUGAUGUUCUAAAUAGAAAAGUCUCUUGAUGCCAAAAAAAAAAAAAAAAAAAUAGAAAAGUCUCUUAAUUUGGGGACGCUUCUCAAUUGUGUAUUUAUUAGAAAAGUGCUAGAAACGUUUUCUCUUUGUAACCUAUUUCUUCAGACUCAUGUUAUCUCUUGCUCAAAAUGUUAGUGGAUUUACUAAAUCUAGCCCUCAUAUGAUCAUGUUGAAUAGAUGUAAGGAUCAUUGGCCCUAGAUGUAAAUGUAAAAAAAAAAAAUCUAUUUAUAAUUUUCUUAGAUAUACUUUUGAUAAAAUUGAAAUAUAUAUUUACUUCUAUUUAGAACAUCAAAAUUAAAAAUUAUCUUUUUCAUUACAUAUUUUUUUUUUCAAACUAAUCAAGCCAAAUAAAUGUAAAGAGACUUUUCCACUAACGACUACUCACCACUUCUCUUGGGUACUAUACUUGAUCCUAUUCCCAUUCAGAUAUUUCAGAAUCGCUUGUCUUUUUAGUCUUGGCCUUACCUGAAAGAUAAUAGCAACCCAUAAACGUUUGGAAGAUAUUCAUCAUACAUUUUCCUCAUCUCUUUGUUCUCAUUUCCUGCAAAAUACGAGAAACAUGAAACUCUUUCUUCUCAUUUCUUUCAGUGCUCUCAUGUCACUUGAAGCAUUCGGGAAUAGCCAUGAAAGUGAUAAGCAAGCAUUAUUCAAGUUCAAGUCUCAAGUUUCUGAAGAGAAACAAGUUCUGCUGUCUUCAUGGAACAACUCCUUCCCUCUCUGCAAAUGGACGGGGGUUACAUGCGGCCGCAAACGCAAGAAAGUUACUGGUUUAGACCUCGGAGGAUUCCAAUUGGGUGGAGUGAUAUCGCCAUUUAUUGGUAAUCUUUCGUUUCUCAUAUCACUUGAUUUCUCUGAUAACUCUUUUCGUGGAACCAUCCCUCAAGAGCUGGGAAACUUGUUUAGACUGCAGUACUUGAAUAUGAGCUUAAAUAUUCUGGGAGGAGAGAUUCCAGCCAGUCUGUUCAACUGUUCAAGAUUGUUGGACCUUUCUUUAUAUUCAAAUCAUCUUGGACAAGCUCUUCCUUCAGAACUAGGAUCAUUGAGGAAGCUUAUUAAUUUAGACCUUGGUACAAACAACCUGAAAGGAAACCUCCCUGUAUCUCUAGGAAACCUGACAUCCAUCAGAGAAAUUUACUUUGAUGAAAACAAUCUGGAAGGAGAAGUUCCAGUUGUUAUAGGUAGAUUGACUCAACUGUUGAUUUUUGUAUUACAUUCAAACCAUUUCUCUGGUAUGUUUCCUCCUGCAAUUUACAACUUGUCCUCACUUACGUUUUUGGACAUGUUUGAUAAUGGUUUCUCUGGCAACCUGAGACCUGAUUUCGGUAAUUUGCUACCAAACCUUCGAGAGUGGUCUAUAGGAAAUAAUUCUUUCACAGGAACCAUUCCAUCAACACUUGCAAAUAUUUCAACUCUUCAAUUUUUGGGCAUGGAGUAUAACAGUCUGACAGGAAGUAUCCCUCUGAGCUUUGCAAAAAUACGAUAUUUGCAAACACUAGCCCUUAAUGACAAUUCUUUGGGAAGUUUUUCAGCUGGAGAUCUUGAAUUUCUUGUUGCUUUGACCAACUGUACCCAACUGCAAAGCUUAGAUGUGUCAUUCAAUAGGCUUGGGGGUGACUUGCCUGCCUCCAUUGUCAAUCUAUCGAUGAGCCUCAAUAAGUUGGCUCUUGUAGAGAAUUCGAUAUCUGGAAGCAUUCCUCAUGACAUUGGGAAUCUCAUACACCUACAAGUAUUAGUGUUGUCCGAAAAUCUAUUGAAAGGACCAAUCCCAGUCUCUUUUGGGAAACUUUCAGGUUUGGUGGUAUUAAGUGUCCAUACAAAUAGAAUGUCAGGAGACAUACCACAUUCUUUAGGCAACAUCACUCGGUUAGAAAAACUCUAUUUAUACAACAAUAGUUUUGAAGGAAACAUUCCUCCAAAUCUUGGUAAAUGCAGCUAUUUGCUAUAUUUACAUAUCGAGAAUAAUAAGUUGACUGGUAUUAUACCUCAGGAGAUUAUGCAAAUUCCGACCCUUGUUUCCCUACGCAUGUCAAAUAAUUCAUUGACGGGCUCUCUGCCAGAAGAUGUUGGACGACUUGGACAUCUUGGUAAGCUAUAUUUUGCGCAUAAUAAGCUAUCAGGGAAACUCCCAGAGACUUUGGGAAAGUGUCUCUCACUGGAAAAACUUUGUCUGCAAGGAAAUUCUUUUGAUGGAAUCAUUCCAGAUAUAAGUGGGUUGGUGGGUAUUAAGGAGGUUGAUUUCUCAAGCAACAAUCUCUCUGGAAGAAUCCCUGAAUAUCUCACAAACUUUAGCUUGUUGGAGUAUCUCAAUCUAUCAUUUAACAACUUCAAAGGAAAUGUGCCAACAGAUGGAAAGUUCCAAAACGCUACCAUAGUCUCGGUAUUUGGAAACCAAAACCUUUGUGGAGGCAUCUUGGAAUUGCGACUACAGCCAUGUUUUAUGCAACCAGCAGAAAAUUCACGAAAGAAACUUGUGAUUGGGGUAAGCAUAGGCAUAUCUUUGCUUUUUCUUUGCUUCAUAGCUUCAGUUUCUCUUUGUUGGUUAAAAAGCAGAAAGAAGAAAAAGAUCAACGAAGAAACUCCUUCCACCUUGGGGUUUUUUCAUGAAAUGAUAAGUUAUGGAGAUCUUCGAAAUGCGACAGAUGGCUUCUCUUCGAUUAAUUUGAUCGGGUCAGGCAGCUUUGGUACCGUUUUUAAAGCCCUUCUGCCUGCUGAGAACAAGGUUGUUGCAGUUAAAGUUCUAAACAUGCAGAGACGUGGAGCAAUGAAGAGCUAUAUGGCAGAAUGUGAAUCCUUGAAAGAUAUUAGACAUCGUAAUCUUGUGAAACUGUUGACAGCUUGUUCAAGUAUUGAUUUCCAAGGAAAUGAAUUCAGAGCUUUAAUCUAUGAGUACAUGCCAAAUGGAAGCUUGGAUAUGUGGCUGCACCCAAAUGAAAUGGAAAAGAUUUCUAGGCCCUCAAGAACAUUGACACUUCUGGAAAGGAUUAACAUAGCGAUAGACGUGGCUUCUGUUUUGGAGUAUCUUCACGUUAGUUGCCAUGAUGCUAUUGCGCAUUGUGAUCUGAAACCAAGCAAUGUUCUAUUAGAUGAUGAUCUAACCGCCCAUGUAAGUGACUUUGGUCUUGCUCGAAUCCUUCUCAAAUUUGACCAGGAAACCUUCAUUAACCAACUUAGCUCGGCUGGAGUCAGAGGAAGCAUCGGCUAUGCGGCACCAGAAUAUGCAAUGGGAGGAGAAAUAUCAGUACAUGGUGAUGCAUAUAGCUUUGGGAUUCUCAUUUUUGAAAUGUUUAGUGGAAAACGACCAACCGAUGAGAUGUUUGGCGGUGACUUUACCCUCCGUAGCUGCAUCAAGUCUGCAUUGCCAGAGAAAGUAUUGGAUGUGGCAGACGAAUUGGUUCUUCACAACGGCCUUAGAAUUGGCUUCCCUGUAGCUGAGUGCUUGACGAAGGUUUUAAAAGUGGGACUUGGGUGUUCUGAAGAGUCUCCAGCAAACCGCUUGGGAAUGAGUGAGGUUGUAAAAGAAUUAAUCUCAAUCAAGGAGAGGUUCUUCAAAGACAAAAGAGGAGCUAGAAGUUGAAGUGUGCCUUGUAUGCUUGCUCCUCUACAAACUUGAAGACUUGUAGAUGUAUAAUUUGUCUUCAUGAUAUGCUUUGAAUGUUUUUCAACAGAAUGCUAUGUUAUUAGCAGACAAAAGAUGACGUUAUGUUAGCAAUUUGAUAUUUGUAAUUUGGAAAACGUUGCUUUUGAAAUUUGAUAGCUAAUACUACAUGUUUACUAGUUUCUUCAAGUCUCUCAUAGCUUUAGCGUUGCCACCACUCACUCAAGCGUUCAUCACUUCGUUGGGAGAAGAGGUUCUUCUUCGUCCUUUUUAGCUGUCUAAUUGUUUUCACUUGCGUAACCCACAAGUUACUUACGUUUGUUGAGAGAAUAUGUAAGUGGGAGCAAGACAUCAAUGCUGCCACGUAUUCACUGUUAUUGGUUUUAUUAGUAACUGAAAUUAAUCCGCCAGAGCAUAUGUUCUGGGCGAUUGAGCAAGAGAGUAUGCCACAUGUCCGUGGUGUGAUGGUUGAACCUCUGAGACACAUGGUUCAAGUGCUCCAAGCAGAAUUACAACAAGCUUUCCAUAGAAGUCACUUUCUGUGUUGUUUUAGAUAAUGAAAAUCUUUGAGAAUAAGAGUGCAAGAGGCUUAAGCGUUGCAUGCUUUCAUAGGACUUCAAGUAAACUUUUGGUUGGAACUGUAGAUUAUUUUUCCUAUAAGUUUUUCAACGAAGAGAAGGACUGGAAUUUGGAGUUAAUGUAACUGCCAUGAAUUAGUGUAUUUGUUGGUCAAAAUAAUAAUUGUUUUAAAUGAGGGAACAGAGAUCCAAAAAUAAGUGACAUGAACCGUUUAUAAAACUAUAUAUUUGGUUGAAUAUAAAAUUUAACAAUUUCACUUUAGAUACGUGGAUUUGAAUUUAGAUUUAAUAAGUUAACUAGGUGUUUUGCCCGCGAUGUGGGCUUAAACAUUUUCAUAAAUUUUUGAAAAGUUCUUUGUAUACUAUACUAGUUAUAUUGUGUUUUCCAAAAAGAAUUCUUGCGAUCAAUUUAGUAUCAUCUAUGCAUUGUCUACUCUCGAAUAUAUAAAUAUAUAUAUUUCUGAACAAUUAAAUAUUAAAAUAUUUUAGUGGUAUAAUUUAAACUUGGGUCUCUAGUCAAAAAACAAAACGUGUUUCCAAUUUAUGUAAAGAAUAUUAGUUUUUUGAAUGAGCAAAGAUUUAAGGAUGGUUAUUGUUUUAAGAAGUGGUAUAAUUUAAACUUGGGUCUCUAGUCAAAAAACAAAACUUGUUUGCAAUUUAUGUAAAUAAUAUUAUUUUUUGUGAAUGAGCAAAGCUUUAAGGAUGGUUAUUGGCAAAUAAAUGUUUGAGAACUUUAAUUUUUUUUUUUUGAGAUUCUACAGCUAUAAUAGUUUAAGGGUUUUUGAAAUAUUACUAAUUAAUUGUUAUUGAUUCGAAGAUUUUCAAAUUUCAUCAAAAUUCUUUAUUUAUUUGUGAUAAUAGUUUUUCAUUCUAUUUUAACAAAAUUUAACGUUAUUAAAAUAUAAUUUACCUUUAUUAUUCAUAAGAUACAACUUUCAAAAUAGUUUGGCAAUUAAAAUAAUGGAUGUAAGAUUUAAAAUCCGCUAUGUAAUUUGUUAUUUGAAUAUCACAACA